rnacentral:rRNA from 1 species
CGCCUCUUGUAAUUAUAAUGUCCUAGCCUGCCAGUCACUUAGUUGUUCGGAAGCAGGUACCCUGACCGUGCGAGGUCAGCAUAAUUAUCUUGUUCUUUAAAUAAGACUAGUAUCAACGGCAUCUACGAGGGUUACACUGUCUCCUCCCUCCAAUCAGUGAAACUGAUCUCCCCCGUGAAGAAGCGGGGAUAAAAAUAUAAGACGAGAAGACCCCAUGGAGCUUUAAACCCAACAACAACCUCUAUGCACAACCCCCUAAUAAAUGCAGAAGUACUGUCUGUUGGUUUUAGGUUGGGGUGACCGCGGAGUAAAACUUAGCCUCCACGAUGAACGGGAUUAACCCCUAAUCCAAGAGCCACCGCUCUAAGAAUCAAUAAAUUGACAUGAGAUGAUCCGACUAUCGAUCAACGAACCAAGUUACCCUGGGGAUAACAGCGCAAUCCAUUUCAAGAGCCCUAUCGACAAAUGGGUUUACGACCUCGAUGUUGGAUCAGGGUAUCCAGUGGUGCAGCAGCUACUAAAGGUUUGUUUGUUCAACAAUUAAAACCCU